GACGAACGCUGGCGGCGUGCUUAACACAUGCAAGUCGAACGGAAAGGCCCUGCUAUUGUGGGGUGCUCGCGUGGCGAACGGGUGAGUAACACGUGAGUAACCUGCCCUUGACUUUGGGAUAACUUCAGGCAACUGGGGCUCCUCCCGGAUAGGAGAUCCUGCUGAUUGGUGGGGGUUGGAAGGUUUCGGCGGUUGGGGAUGGACUCGCGGCUAAUCAGCUUGUUGGUGGGGUAGUGGCUUACCAAGGCUUUGACGGGUAGCCGGCCUGAGAGGGUGACCGGCCACAUUAGGACUGAGAUGCGGCACAGUCCCAUACGGGAGGCAGCAGUGGGGAAGAGUACACAAUGGGCGGAAGGCUGAUGCAGCGACGCCGCGUGCGGUAAGACAGCCUGCGAGUUGUAAACCACUGUUGCCUUUUACGAGACGUGAGUGACGGUAAUGGGUAAAGAAGCACCGGCUAACUACGUG
rnacentral:rRNA from 1 species